rnacentral:rRNA from 1 species
AGAGCGAACGCUGGCGGCAGGCUUAACACAUGCAAGUCGAGCGGUCGUAGCAAUACGGCAGCGGCAGACGGGAGAGUAACACGUGGGAACGUACCCUUCAGUUCGGAACAACCAAGGGAAACUUUGGCUAAUACCGGAUACGUCCGUAAGGAGAAAGAUUUAUCGCUGAAGGAUCGGCCCGCGUCUGAUUAGCUAGUUGGUGAGGUAACGGCUCACCAAGGCGACGAUCAGUAGCUGGUCUGAGAGGAUGAUCAGCCUCACUGGGACUGAGACACGGCCCAGACUCCUACGGGAGGCAGCAGUGGGGAAUAUUGGACAAUGGGCGCAAGCCUGAUCCAGCCAUGCCGCGUGGGUGAUGAAGGCCCUAGGGUUGUAAAGCCCUUUCGGCGGGAAGAUAAUGACGGUACCCGCAGAAGAAGCCCCGGCUAACUUCGCGCCAGCAGCCGC